UACAGAGGGUGCAAGCGUUAAUCGGAUUUACUGGGCGUAAAGGGUGUGUAGGUGGUUGUUCAAGUCGGUUGUGAAAGCCCUGGGCUUAACCUAGGAAUUGCUUCCGAUACUGAAUAGCUAGAGUACGGUAGAGGGCGGUGGAAUUUCCGGUGUAGCGGUGAAAUGCGUAGAUAUCGGAAGGAACAUCAAUGGCGAAGGCAGCCGCCUGGGCCUGUACUGACACUGAGACACGAAAGCGUGGGGAUCAAACAGGAUUAGAUACCCUGGUAGUCCACGCCGUAAACGAUGAGAACUUGACGUUGGCGUGCUUUGCAUGUCGGUGUCGUAGCUAACGCGCUAAGUUCUCCGCCUGGGGAGUACGGCCGCAAGGCUGAA
rnacentral:rRNA from 1 species